GACGAACGCUGGCGGCGUGCUUAACACAUGCAAGUCGAACGGAAAGGCCCUGCUUUUGUGGGGUGCUCGAGUGGCGAACGGGUGAGUAACAAGUGAGUAACCUGCCCUUGACUUUGGGAUAACUUCAGGAAACUGGGGCUAAUACCGGAUAGGAGCUCCUGCUGCAUGGUGGGGGUUGGAAAGUUUCGGCGGUUGGGGAUGGACUCGCGGCUUAUCAGCUUGUUGGUGGGGUAGUGGCUUACCAAGGCUUUGACGGGUAGCCGGCCUGAGAGGGUGACCGGCCACAUUGGGACUGAGAUACGGCCCAGACUCCUACGGGAGGCAGCAGUGGGGAAUAUUGCACAAUGGGCGGAAGCCUGAUGCAGCAACGCCGCGUGUGGGAUGACGGCCUUCGGGUUGUAAACCGCUUUCGCCUGUGACGAAGCGUGAGUGACGGUAAUGGGUAAAGAAGCACCGGCUAACUACGUG
rnacentral:rRNA from 1 species